UUUAUAUACCAUUUCUUCAGAUUUUUAAGAUUCCUUGGACCUAGCAACCGUUGUAAUCUUUGUAUACAACCAAAACUAAAAAUGAAGUUCCUAUCAAACGUAGCCGUUGGGUUGGGGUACUUGAACGUCGUCCUUACGUUACCACUGAAAUGGUCCUGUCUGUAUACCUGGAUUAGAAAGUGUCUGCGAGUAAAGACGGAAACAUCUCCUAUAAGAAAUCAAACACCUCAAGGGAGAUGAGAAAACACUCCAAAAUAAGAAGAAAAAAAGAAAGAAAGAGAGAAGAAUGAUGAUGGUCUGUUCUUGGUAGCCAUUUUCUCUAUUGCUUUAUACACAGCUGGUUAAUGGUCACUCUUUGCGAGGUUGCCAAACAAGAUGUGGCAACGUCUCAAUCGAGUACCCUUUUGGCAUUUCUACUGGUUGUUACUAUGCCGGACAUGAUAGCUUCAACCUCACCUGUAAUGAAACAACAAACAAGCUAUUCUCUGGCAAACUGCAAGUGAUCAACAUUUCUCACAGCGGCAGAGCUCCGCAUCCUCAAGUCUUAGUGAUUGCGGGGAUACAGUGUGGACUAUCGUACUACCGCCGCUAGGUUAUAUACAUAUAUACGUAUACAGAAAUUGCGGAACAUAUAGAGUAACUAUGUACUAUAUAUAUGCUGUUUUUUUUUGCCAAAUAUUUGAAUAUCAUAUAAAUAUGAAAUUGUUUUGUAAACUUUACAAAAUUUGAAAACUAAAAGAGGUUCACCUCGGCAAAAAGAAUAAAAACAAGGUGAAGCUCAUUUUACAAAAAAGAUUCCUAGUCAUUCCUCAGCCAUGAUAGCAUGAGAGUCUCGAAACUCUUUUUGUGCGGUUUCCUCAAUAUUGUGUCCCUGAUAUUACGGUCUAUAAGCUUGCAAAUCGUUCUUGGGGUAGACGAGAUUCCGUCGUGUAGUCUCUUGUUCCUUUCAGCCCAGAUAUGGUAGAUAGUUGCAUGGGCAACAAGUCUCUUUAGUAUUCGAGGAACAUGAGAAUUGGUGAUGGAUAACCAUUCUAUGAAGGCGGUCCAAGACAUAAAACAAGAAUGAGAAUAACCGAGCCUUCUGAGAAUCAGUUCCCAUAUCUGUUCACUUACCUCGCAGCAAAGCAGGAGGUGAUCUCUAGACUCUGGAGCAGAGUCGCAGAGACAGCAAUUCGGGGAGGUACCAAGUCCCCAGCUGAAUAGGCGAGCACGGGUGGGCAUUCUGUCAUGUUGAGCAAUCCACAUGAGGAAAGCAUGACGUGGAGUACAUGAUUUGAACCAAACACUGUCAGCCCAAGUUACAGUCGGUGCUCUGUUUCUGAUCGUCUCCCAAGUUCGAGAGGCCGAGAAUUUGGAUAGUGGGUCUUCUUCAAUCAUCCAAACAAAUUCAUCACAUGCUUGAGACUAUGAUGGGAGUGGAAUACCCGUUAGAUGAUAGUGCAGGCUCUCUGCCUCCGGUGACCUUGCUCCUCUGAGAUUCCAGCCUGUCUCAUUGCACGCGUCUGCCACAGAAGCAAAUAGAGGUAUAGAGAGCUGUCGAGGGCCACCGGUUCCGAACAGAUUAAUAAGCCGGCCAAGGGGAGACCAAUCAUCCCACCAGAAGCUGAUGUUCUGUCCAUUACCCAAAUCUGAUUUUAGAAAAUCUGAAGCAAGAGGUCGUAGGUUGAGAAGUGAUCUCCACGUCCACGAUCCUACCUUCUUAGCAUCAAGACUCCACAGGUUCUCACUGCCAAUUUUGUACUUUCUGAUCCAAGAAGCCCAGAGAGAAGGAUUUGGAGCAUAGAGCAUCCAAAUGAGCUUCAAACAGAGUGUCUUGUUCCAGGCAGUGAGAUCCCUCAAUCCCAAUCCUCCUUCACGUUUGGGGAGAGAAACUGUAUCCCAAGCAAUUUUUGCAACUCCCUUGGUAGUAAUGUUACCAGUCCAUAAGAAGCGAGAGCAUAAGCUUUGGAUCUGUUUAAUGCAACCUUUAGGCAGGAUGAAAGCUGAUGUCCAGAAAUUAAUUGUUCCAUAUAUGACUGAAGAGAUCAACUGAGCUCUCCCUGCGUAAGACAGCUUUUUUGAAGACCACGCAGUGAAGUUUGCAGAGAUCUUCUGGAUCAGCGGUCUAUACUCUGCAAGUCUCAGUUUCCGAUGCAUAAGAGGAAGGCCCAAGUAACGGACUGGCAUUGAACAGAGACUGAAACCGAGACCUUUGAGGUCAUUAGUUUCAUCUUGGUUCAAGCCUCCUACAAAUAAUUCUGUCUUUUUCUUAUUCAUACGUAGACCAGACCAGGUUGCAAACACGUCCAUAGUCUCAACAAUAUUCAGCAAAGACUUCUUCUCACCAUCAAAGAAUAUCAUGAUAUCAUCAGCGAAGGCUAGAUGAGUUACCUCAGGAUCAGCCGUCUUUGGAUGAAACCCAAUGUCCCCAGCUCGAUAUCUUGCAUUAAGCAUUUGGGAGAACACUUCCAAGGCGAUGACAAAAAGGUAAGGUGACAAAGGAUCACCUUGGCGGAGACCUUUUGUUCCUUUGAAAUACCCACAUAGUUCUCCAUUUAUAGAGAUAGAGAACCUGGUUGUAGUGAUACAUUGAGCUAUGAGCCUCCGGAAGUGAGAUGGAAAGCCUAGAGCUUCAAGUGUGUUAAGAACGAAGUCCCAGUUUAUAGAAUCAAACGCUUUCUGUAAGUCUACUUUCAGCAUGCAGCGUUUUGAUAUGUCCUUCCAUUUAUACCCAGCCACCAACUCUGUCGCAAGGAGCACAUUUUCAACCAAGAGGCGGCCCGGAACAAAAGCUGACUGCGCAGCGGAGAUAAGUUGAGGCAGAGCAGAUUUGAUCCGAUUGGCAAGAAGUUUAGAAGCCACUUUGUACACAGUAUUGCAACACGAAAUAGGCCUAAACUCUGUCAUUCUAUUAGCAUUUGGCUUUUUUGGAAUAAGAGCUAUGAUUGUAGCAUUCCAUUGUUGCAAUAGGCGACCCGUUGUCAGGAAUUCCUUCACUGCCGCGAUCAUUUCCUUCCCUACAAUGCUCCAAUUAGCUUUGAAGAACUCAGCAGGAUAACCAUCCGGGCCAGGGGCCUUAGAAUCUGGAAGAGAGAGGAAAGCUGACUGGAUAUCCAAAUCUGUAAACUCUGCUGCCAAGUGCAUAACAGCCUCAGGAGAACAACGUAGAGGUAGGUAAGUGGCUAUAGUGGCUGGAGAAGGCGCUGUUGGGUUUGAUAUGCCACCAAGUAGCGUGGAGUAGUAGUCCACUGCAUGAGUCUUAAUGUCCUCCAGUUGAUCAAUGACACCUCCAUCCCUGUCCAGCAGCAUUAUGAUUUGAUUCUGAGCUUGCCUUGAUCUGAUCAAACGAUGAUAGUGAGCAGUAUUGGAGUCACCAUUCGCAGACCACUGUACUCGGGAUCGUUGCUUCAAGUAGGAAUCCUCCGCUUUUGCCAAGGCAUGCCAAUGUAGGUGGGGCUUUCUUUCUGUUUCAGCUGCAGUAGGGGAUGGGUUAGAGAGAGCCAUAUCUUGAGCGAUGCAUAGCUCGGAAAAUGCCUCCUCCACUCUUUUCUCCAGUUGAGAGUAGUGUUCCCUUCUGAAGGUUUUGAUUAUUCCUUUAAGCUCUUUUAGUUUCUUGGAAACUCGAAGUUGAUUUGUACAGCUGAAGUUGAAGGAGUUCCAACAGUUUCCCAAAAGAGCCGCAAAAUCCUCAUGCUGAUUGAGAUGCGCGAAGAACUUAAACGGUCGUUUUUGCUUAGGCUUGUGCUGAUCCAGAAAUGUACAGCACGGGCUGUGAUCAGAAAUACCUGGCACACCAAAUAUGCCUAUAGAUUCUGGAAAUUGCUGAAGCCAUGCUGCGUUAGUAAGAAUUCUAUCCAGCUUUUUAGACACAUGGCCAUUAGACCAAGUGAAUGAGCUUCCAGAAUAAGGUAGAUCAAAUAGCGAACACCGAUCAAGGCACUCUUUAAAGUCUCUCAUACCACGCUGGGAAGAGAACUGAUCAGCAUGAGAGUGCUCUUCCGGGCUAAUGAUCUCGUUAAAGUCACCAAAUACAAUCCAAGGAAUGCCUGCCAGUUGAUGAGAGACAGAACAUGUCUCCAAUUCACUCCACAACAGCCUACGCUCCACUCUGCAGUUAGAGCCAUAAACGCAAGACACUCCAACCUCACAGCUCACAUUUGGAAGCUUGACAAUAGCAGUAGUUAUCUGACGAGAACAUGAAAUUAUCCGAACUGACACAGUAGGGUGCCAGACUAGCCAUAUCCUCCCAAGGUCCGAGUGAUCGUAGUUGCCGUGAAAAGACCAACCCGGCAAUAUAGAACUACAAAUAGAAUCCGACUUAAUAACCUGUACAUGGGUCUCCACGAGACCUCCAAAAAUGGGUUUAUAUUUCUAAUCCACUUCCUAAAACCCCGCCGCUUUACAGAAUCAUUUAUACCUCUUAUAUUCCAACAAAAAAGAUCCAUAUAAGAAUGUAAAAUUUAGAGGAUUAAAGGACCUCUAGCCCUUGACAUUCCUUUUAACUGUUUCUUCUGCCUUCGAGAAAUGACCUCAAUAAACUUGUCAUUCUCUUCGUCUGGGUUAUCUUCAUCGAUCCCCUGAGUAAGAACUCAUGUCUGAUACGGGACCAGAAGAGGAGUCAUUCGCAUUUUGAGACGCAGAAUAGGGGGUGAAGUCCACACACAGACCGCCUUCAGCAAGAUCAUUAUACUCAGCAGUAGAGGACUUAGAGUGAGGCGUGAACUGAUUCCGAGGAGAUGAUGUUUUCUGAGCCAUAACCAAAGGUCGUUGAGAGGUAGGUGAUCUCCUGGUACCACCCUCUGAAUGAGCAGGGGAUGAGGUUGCCUUCGCAGUAAUCACCAUAGGAGGAUCAAGCAUAGGGGCACCAGCCGGGGUAGCAUCAACCAAAGGUGGUUGAGCCGAUCCUGAGGAUAUUGGAAUCUUAGCAGCAGGUGAUGGACCAACUGCCUGUUUUACUGCACCUUUCCUUUUAUCUUGAGUUGGUCUGUAUUCCAUCUUGCUUUUAGUUCCAACGAUAGGCAGUAAGCUCUUAACAGGGGCCUUGCCUUUAGCUUUCUCACGAUUGUACCUUGGGCAGUCAACCGUAACAUGUCGUACUGAGUUACAGAGAGUACAUGUCUUUGGUGCUGCCUUACAUCGCGAGAUGGUAUGACCUACUUUCUUACAAUAGGAACAUAGCGAAGGAAGGAAUGGGCUGGAGACAGAGAUACGUCGAGUGUCCCCGCUUUCAAACCUUGCAUUAACAAACUCUGGCAAAGGCUUCCUGGGAUCAAUAAAGGUGUAGACUUUUGCCACUUCGAUGUUUGUGAGCUGUUCAGUUGAGGGAUGAAGGCAAAUAGGGUGACCUACUAUGCCAUCAAUUUACUAUAUGCUGUUGUCGUUGUCUAAGGCCAUUGAUAUAUUGUUUGCUCUGUGAGGUGUAUUAGGCACAUCGUAUUUUUCAUGCUAGAGCUAGAUAUACAUAGUCAUAGUCAUAGUGCUAUGUACUAAGUCGGUGGUUUGCGGUUUAAUAUCAUAUACCUCACUGAGUAACUUUAUUGUUAUUUAUUUCUUUUUCUUUUUCUUUUUCCUUUCAAACGAGACUGACGCUUGAAUGAUUUGUAUUGGAUUAGUGUUUUUGGGCUUUUCUAUUUUAUUUUAUUUUUCAGACAUGUGAAUUUAUGUUUUUUAUCGAUAUUUUUGUAUUUUAUUCUACUUAUUGGAUUUAGAGUGUUGAGUUGACUUUUGAAAAAAUAAUAAAAUAAAAAUUUUAAAAUUAUUUAUUUAAAUUAUAUUUUGGAAAAUACGAGUGUUACAAUAAGAGCCGCGUUGUUAAAUCAAAGCACUUACGUAGACGUUGGGGUAUAUAUAAUAUAUAUUAAUAUGUGGAGUACUUUGACGUCCCACUUGAGUUACAUUGACAUGGUCUUGAUUGUGUAGCUGCAUAUAUAGAACAUCUCAAGACUUGAGGUUUAUUUCCUAAUCCUAUAAGAAAAAAAAAGACUUGAGAAAACCUUAAAAAGGGGAAACAAAGAGAGAGGAAAGAGAGGUUGAAGAUGAACAAGGUGCAUGGUCUGUUUUUGGUGGCUAUUUUCAUUAUUGCUUCUACAAAGCUGGUUAUCGGUCAAUCUUUGCGAAGUUGCCAAACUAGAUGUGGCAACGUCUCAAUCGAGUACCCUUUUGGCAUUUCUACUGGUUGUUACUAUGCCGUACAUGCUAGCUUCAACCUCACCUGUAAUGAAACAACAAAAGAGCUAUUCUCUGGCAAACUGCAAGUGAUCAACAUUUCUCACAGUGGCGAGCUGCGCAUCCUCAAAUCAAGAUCCUACACUUGCUACAACAGCACAGAUCUGACUGAGGGAACUUUCUACACCAC
rnacentral:lncRNA from 1 species